UAAAUGAAAUACAAAAUAUAAAGAAAAAUAAACAAAUUAACCUGCACUUACCUUUGAAAACCUUCAUGACUGGUGUGAGGGAGACGAGAGAGGAGGGUUAUUGUGCAGGAUGACUUUCACUGUCACUAGCAGAAUCACUCCUGGCUCACUGGAAUCUUUUUCUUUUCGUGCAACUUUAACAAGAAACCUAUCCAGUGACACUUGCUUUUACCCCCUUUUGAGGGUUUUGCGGAAAGGUGACAUUGCAUCGACGAUCACCCACAAUCCCACAGCAAGAGAGAGAAGAGCCGUUGGCUCGGUUGUGAUCAUGUGAUGUUUGGCAUCACGUACUACUCGUGUUGCAAGACAGCUCUCGUUUAUCGAGCUAAAAUACAUUAGAAAUGUUUGCUUGUGUGGCAGAACACGCAGAACAAGUUACUCGCAAUCCAAGGUUCUACUGUAUAAGAAAGCAAGAGCUGGAAGAGUUGAAAAUGGUUGCCUGCAAGGAGUUGGACAAUUGGUUGGAACAAUUAGUUGAGGACUUCUGUUUUGCAUUUUGAUCCAUUGCAUAUUUGAGUUUCAAACUAGCGCGUGCAUUACUUCAUUAAAAACUGAAUUGAAGAAGCGAAGAAUCGAGCUAGAAUGUUGGAGUGGGAGAUGACAGGCAGUUGACUCACCUUUGGAACCUUAAAAAUACUGGAGUGGAUAGCAGACUUCCUGCAGGUCGGUGGAAAGGGGGAUCAUACUAUUUUAACUGUAUGUGAAAGGAAAAUAUGAGACCAGCAGACUGAAGGACUUAAGAAUAAUCAGGUUUGGGGCGCCUGGGUGGCUCAGUCGGUUAAGCGUCUGACUUCGGCUCAGGUCAUGAUCUCGUGGUCCAUGAGUUCGAGCCCCACGUCGGGCUCUGUGCUGACAGCUCAGAGCCUGGAGCUUGUUUCGGAUUCUGGGUCUCCCUCUCUCUGACCCUCCCCCAUUCAUGCUCUGUCUCUCUCUGUCUCAAAAAUAAAUAAACGUAAAAAAAAUUUCUUUAAAAAAAGAAUUUUCUGGGUUAAAAUUGAAGGCGUGGAGAGACAUUUCUCACCACGUUGCCCUUUCUUUAGGUGAUUUCUCCAAAGGACUGCCUCAGUAUGCCUUCACUUCUGGAGUGAGCUUGUGAGACAUUGAGGAGAGAAAAGAGAAAUCCAAACAUGUGUGCAUGAGUGAUUUACCCAGACCUCUGGGCUCAAAUAGUCUCUACAAUACGAGCUCCUUGAGGGCAAGGAUUUCUGAUUGCUUUGUUCCCUGCUGUAUCCCCAGUGUCUCAAACAGAGCCCUCCCUGAACUAGGUGCUCAGUAAGUUGCCUAGAACUUGAACAUCCAGCAGCUAGCAUCUUAGUGAUGAUGUCAACACCAGUCUUUCUAGGUCUCACCAAGCAGGUAUCUUCUCCCUGCAAUGAUCUGGCAUCAAUGCAAGUGUUUAAAAGGUGGUAUUUCUAUUGUAACUGGAGGGCCAGGCUCUUCCUCAGCCCCGUAAGCUGGUUGAUAUACGGCCAUUCCCCAGCACAUCGUUAAUAACAGUAAGAGAAUCUGGUUUCUGAGCAGGCACUGCCAGCCACUUGACCUCAAACAAGGGUGAAUUCACCUAGGAAACGCCACUCAAGAGGACCCUCGCAAUUGCCAGCCUCCCCGGUGAUAUCCCCAGCUUAAUAUAUAGCCUAGUAUUGCAGAACUGGGACAAUGGGCUGGGAACCAUGAGACGCAGAACCAAAAACCAAACACAGAACCCCCUCACUCUGGCAAGCAUGGGAUUUAACAGGCAGACCUGGCGGAGCUUCAGGGGAAUUACCCUGAGAACACACAGUCCUUUAGGUCAUUUCCCAGAGCUACUGAGCGAUCGGCACGUGGGAGGAACCAAGGGACCCCGUGUCACCGGGAGCGAGUCAGCCAACGUGGGUAGCUUUGGUAAGACUCAACUAGAUAUGACCCUUAAGGACAUAUAAAAAUGACAGAGGGGAUUUUUCAGUGCAUCUCUGUACAGAUGCAGAUGACCCACAGAUGCACCUGGAAACAACCUCUUCGGCACCGCGUUCCCUGCCUCUACCCUGGGAUGACUCCACUUUGCUUCCCAAGGGUAGAGAGCACACGAUGUCCCCCAGAGAGGAAAAGCAGAGGGAAAGAAUUUCCCAUUUUAACCUGGUCUCCUUUGUUAUUUUAGGGCCUACUGUCAUCGAAGCCAUUUCAAAAAUCUGAAAAGAAGUUUUAUUUUCAAAUUCAUAAUGUUGACCAAAGAGACUUGCCUUUAUUAUGCUCAUAAAUCAUUCAUACCUCCUUAAUAGCAAAGAAAUUAUUUUUAAUUUUUAGAAUACUCUUUUCCUCUUUCUUCCCAACACAAGAGGAAAUGAGAAUAAUAUUUUAUGUUAAUAGGAACAAAAUGUUCAAAAUGUAUGCACUGUAUAGAAAUCUUAUAAAAUGUUUCAUUGGAAACAUUUUUUAAGCAACAAAGGAAAUGAAACGCAAAAAGCCACAUUAAAAGCACAUUGAUGACUUUUACUUUAACGAGGAAACUGAGUGAAGUAGAUUAGGGGAGGGUAGAUGGGAGCCCUGAGAGAAAAUUAUGUUCCUUGGGACUCGUGGGGUUAGGGGCUGUCCCAGAUCCCAACGGGAAGCCCAGCCCAGCUCUCAGGGGCACUCUCUGCUGGUCAGCCCCUUCCAGAGGUCAGAAAAGCUUCCCUGAGCAAGGUCAAAGCUCAGCCUCCAGGGACUGAGGCAGGUCCUGCAAUACAGGACCAUUUCUCUCUGCCAGAAGGAUGUCAGGACUCCCUGGACCAGACAACUGCUCCAAUCAUAACCUAGAAACUCCCUGGGAUCCACCGAAGGGUUAAUAGUGAGGGGCAGGGAGAAGUUAAUAGCAAAGAAUAAAGGGCACUGGCAACCCAUCAGAACCCACAGCAUCAAGGACAGUACGGGUGGGAAACAAGAUUCAGAGGGUAGAAAGUCAUUUCUUUGGCACUGACCAAAUGGCACGUGGUUUUGGCAAACGUGCCGGAGAAUGCAAAGGUGCAUGCAUUGCAGCGAAGGCGUCUGCGUGCGGUGGCUCAGUGGUCUGAGACAACCAGGCUUCCCGGCUUCCAGAGAGAUUUACGACCCGCAUUUUCGGGUUACAGCACCUUUCUGUGGGAACAGCCACACUGAGUCCUAAAGGCAAAGCUGAGGGGGCCCUGGAGCAAAGCAGGCAGGACCUUAGCACACAAGGCAGGGCAAACUAAACAAGCAGCUGCCCCUGGGUGCGAACAAGAGAUGGAGGCAAGCCCCCUCCUGCCCGCCCACCCCGUCAAAAUACCACUCACAAGUUACUAACACUAAAAUAUCCUAAAUGCUUUGAAUUAGUCUCAUCCUUGUUAAAAUGCUUUCUAAGACAUUUACAGCUUAUGCACUAAACAAAUCAUUUUUUUUUAAAGCAGAUUCUGAUCAAUGAGAAAGGGGAACGAAGGGAGAGGAAAAUGUGUAUUUGAGGACCCACCACCUACCAGUUACUUUCCUGGUGUUUUUCAGCUUUACCUCAUAAAUGAAGAAUUAGGCUACAGGGAAGAGGUUGGAGAGAGAGGUGACAGACAGCUACAUGGGAGCACUCCCUGUGGAACCUUGAAAAUCAGACGGCUUGUGGGAGAUGACCCUACAUGACACACAGGCUCCUCAAUCCAGAACCACAGGAGCUCUGGCGUGCAGUGAACCAGCAAGGAGACAUUUCAGAGGAGUAACAGUCCUUCCCCAGCUGGGACUGGCCCAUGCCCUGACCUUCUGGUAGGCAAGAUAAACCUGGCUAGAAAGUAAAAUUCUAUCAUCAAGAAAAGAAACAGCAACACAUUCACAACUUUGCUUGAAGAGUGGAACUUCAGUGAAGAAGGAUCGCAUAUCUCAUCACUCUAUCUAUAGGAAGCUUAAGA